rnacentral:rRNA from 1 species
UCUACGGGGAGCAGCAGUGAGGAAUAUUGGUCAAUGGGCGCGAGCCUGAACCAGCCAAGUAGCGUGAAGGAUGACUGCCCUACGGGUUGUAAACUUCUUUUAUAAAGGAAUAAAGUGAGGCACGUGUGCCUUUUUGUAUGUACUUUAUGAAUAAGGAUCGGCUAACUCCGUGCCAGCAGCCGCGGUAAUACGGAGGAUCCGAGCGUUAUCCGGAUUUAGUGGGUUUAAAGGGAGCGUAGAUGGGUUGUUAAGUCAGUUGGGAAAGUUUGCGGCUCAACCGUAAAAUUGCAAUUGAUACUGGCAGCCUUGAGUACAGUUGAGGUAGGCGGAAUUCGUGGUGUAGCGGUGAAAUGCUUAGAUAUCACGAAGAACUCCGAUUGCGAAGGCAGCUUACUAAACUGCCACUGACAUUGAUGCUCGAAAGUGUGGGUAUCAAACAGGAUUAGAUACCCUUGUAGUC